rnacentral:miRNA from 1 species
UCAUAAAUAAUCUGGAGAUUUUGUUGAAAUGCAGACUCUGACUCAGCAGGUCCAGUUUUAGGCCUGAGAGUCUGCAUUUCUAACAAGCUUCCAAGUGAUGCAGAC